UACGAGAGGUGCAAGCGUUAUUCGGAAUUAUUGGGCGUAAAGAGCUCGUAGGCGGUUUGUCGCGUCUGCCGUGAAAGUCCGGGGCUCAACUCCGGAUCUGCGGUGGGUACGGGCAGACUAGAGUGAUGUAGGGGAGACUGGAAUUCCUGGUGUAGCGGUGAAACGCGCAGAUAUCAGGAGGAACACCGGUGGCGAAGGCGGGUCUCUGGGCAGUAACUGACGCUGAGGAGCGAAAGCGUGGGGAGCGAACAGG
rnacentral:rRNA from 1 species